GGGCCCGUAGCUCAGCCGGUCAGAGCAGCGGACUCAUAAUCCGUCAGACGCAGGUUCGAGUCCUGCCGGGCCCACCA
rnacentral:tRNA from 1 species